rnacentral:misc_RNA from 1 species
GAGGGACCUUUCCUUGAUGGGUUUCGCAGGCUUUGAUAACAGGUUCCUCUUCUUUCAUGGGAAAGAUUCAAAUAUGAGUUGUUGCAACAAUUUGGGGAAGCUAACGAUGACAACUCUGAUGGAACUAUCACCGAUUGAUCAACUGAUAGGCUCAGGGAUGGAGAUUGAUGAAGGUUCUGGCUCCAACGCAGCCCAAGUACUGGAGCUCUUCAAAGUUAACUACCUGAGUUAUCUAACUAUGGGAUUGCGAAA